rnacentral:rRNA from 1 species
UACAGAGGGUGCAAGCGUUAAUCGGAAUUACUGGGCGUAAAGCGCGCGUAGGUGGCUUGUUAAGUUGAAUGUGAAAGCCCCGGGCUCAACCUGGGAACUGCAUCCAAAACUGGCAAGCUAGAGUACGGUAGAGGGUGGUGGAAUUUCCUGUGUAGCGGUGAAAUGCGUAGAUAUAGGAAGGAACACCAGUGGCGAAGGCGACCCCCUGGACUGAUACUGACACUGAGGUGCGAAAGCGUGGGGAGCGAACAGG